GACGAACGCUGGCGGCGUGCUUAACACAUGCAAGUCGAACGGAAAGGCACUGCUUUUGUGGGGUGCUCGAGUGGCGAACGGGUGAGUAACACGUGAGUAAACUGCCCUUGACUUUGGGAUAACUUCAGGAAACUGCGGCUAAUACCGGAUAGGAGCUCCUGCUGCGUGGUGGGGGUUGGAGAGUUUCGGCGGUUGUGGCUGGACUCGCGGCUUCUCAGCUUGUUUGUGAGGUAGUGGAGUACCAGGGCUUUGACGGGUAGCCGGCCUGAGAGGGUGACCGGGCACAUUGGGACUGCGAUACGGCCCAGAAUCCUAUGUGAGGCAGCAGUGGGGAAUCUUGCAGAAUGGCCGGAAGCCAGAUGCAGCAACGCCGCGUGCGGGAUGACGGCCUUCGGGGUGUAAACCGCUUUCGCCGUUGACGAAGAGUGAGUGACGGUAACGGGUAAAGAAGCACCGGCUAACUACGUG
rnacentral:rRNA from 1 species